GGCAUGCCGACAACAGGGGCACAGAGAAGUCCCCCUUUCAAACCAAGAUUUGAGCUGAAGAGUCAGGUUCCUGGUCGCAGGGCUCCGUCAUCUGCAGGAAAAUUAGUGAAGAAGUGGAGGGCCUUGCAAUGUGAAAGGGUGGGAGAGAGAAAGCCAGAGAGACUUCUGCAAAACAAGCUGCAGAUAGGCAUGGAGAAGAGCAAAGCCGCAUACAGGCAUAGUGGAAAAGUACGCUGACCUUCUCAGUGGCUCUAAAACAACAAGCGAAAGACAAAAAACCACCAGCAUCCGUCUUCUUCCUUUCCAGCCAGACAACUCUCCCUGGCCCUAAUGGGUUUCAGGCAGAGAUGGUUUCCUGAGGGCAGCACCAGUCAGAAUGGGUGGAGCAGGCCCCAGAGCUUCUAAUGGUCCCAGCUGAGUCCCCCAAGGCUCAGCACGUGAUCCUGCCGGUCGUACACACAGCCCCAGCUCGAGCACUGUGCGGCCACUCUCUCUCCAAGUACUCUCUGCCCGGGAGCCCACUUCAUCCUGCUUCAUCAGUCUCUGAAGCUGAGAGAACACCCUUGUUUGUUUCUGCAGACAUUCCUUUGCUUCAGCACUCACCGCUCCCCAGACCACAAAGGUGUAUGGACUUAGCAAAACCAGUCAUAAUGAUUUUUCUAUAUCAAAACCAGCCCUAACAAUUUUUAUACAACUUUUAAAUAAAAACAGUGGAAAAUACAAUAAAUAAGUCCUCUAAAUAAAGCUGUGGUAUGAAGUUUAAAUGCCCCAAGUCAGAAGUCAAUUGGAUGUCUCUGUCUGAGCUGAGAGCACAUGACAUACAACGAAACCACAUGGACAGACACAACCCCGAAUGCCAAUUCCAGUGUCCUGUGCAGUGAUGACCACACUGUUAGAAGCAUUUUAACUCUUGUUUUUACAAACUUUCUUUUUACAUAUAUGUUAGCGGUCAAAGAACUCUGUUUUUCUUGGUCCAAACCAGAGGAAAUUUAUUGUCCAAACCAGACCCACCCCAAUGCAUUUGCCUCUGAUGUGAGAAAGAAACACUAGGGCUUCAACCAGAUGAGGGGCGUUUAGGAAAACCCACAGCUGAAGUCACAUUCAAUGCGGAACACUGGGCACCUCCCCCUAAGGUCAGGAACAAGACGAGGGUGUCCGCUCUUAUUCCUUUCAGCCUCGGCACUGAUGGUCCUAGGGCAACUCUAUGUUGACGCCUCUGAGGAACUGCCGGGCUGCAGUGAAUCCAGGUGACCUCACAGAAACUUGUAUGUGAGCAUUCGCAGCGGCAUCAUUCACAGUGGCCAGGAGGUGGAAACAACCCCGAUGUCCAUCAACUGAUGAACCAACCGAUGAACACAGGGUGACCUGUCCAUACAGUGGGGUCUCAGCCACAGAGGGAGCAAGGCCGUGAAACCUGCAGCGGGAGCAAGGCGGUGAAACCCGCAGAGGGAGCAAGGCCGUGAAACCCGCAGCGGGAGCAAGGCAGUGAAACCCUCAGAGGGAGCAAGGCCGUGAAACCCGCAGCGGGAGCGAGGCGCGGAAACAGGCCAUGACACGGACGAGCCACACCAUGGAUGACCCCACGGACACGCCACCAAAGCACCAUCAUGCUGAGUGACAGAAGCCAGGCACCCAGACCAUGCACCGUAUGAUUCCUUUCACGUGAAAUUUCCAGAACAGGGAAAUGCAGAGCGACAGAAAGCAGGGUCAGGCCCCGUUCGGAGAGAUUGCCAUGGUUCUGAGAAACGCAUCAUUUGGUGACUGGUCAUCAUGCAAACAUCCUUGAGCGCACUCACACAACCUGGAGGAUGUAGCUCACUGGAUGCCCAGGCUACGUGGAGUAGCCCAUUGCUCUGGGGCUACACACCCAUACAUCGUGUUACUGUGCUGAAUACACUAGGCAACUGUGAUACAAUGGAGAUCACAGAAGGCCAACAAAGAGGCCUGGGGCACGUCAACGUGGUCCUCAUCGGACUGGCCAAUGGUUCCUUCCUAACUCAACCAAGGGCCACUGCGCCACCGCAGCUGUGGGACCGUAUCUCUGGAUGAUAAGCUGAGUCCAACACAAACACAACAGAACCCAAAAGAAUGCCCAGAAUGCCAAGAACAGUGAACAGCCAUACGCAAACGGGCAAUACUGAUGUUAGCUUUAAAAGUAAGGAGUUCAGAGUGCUCUGUGCUGAACAUCUUUCGGUGUAAUUAAGCCUUCAUAUUCCUGAGGAGGAGCUACUAAGACACCCUACCAAGUCCUGGGCUGUGCCUGGAGGUUAGAAAACGAACCACAUAGUCCUGUAAUGACAGAAAAAAUUGAAAACUGUAUUUUAAAAAUGAUUUCUCAACAAGACCAGCCGGCCACUCAACCACUUCAGUACCUCGUUUCUGGAUGAAGACCCUGAGCAGGGGAUUUGCACUAGAAACCGCCUUGCAGAAGUUGUCAUCAUUGUUGAUGGGCAGCAGGUCUCCGUGCACAUCUGCAUAGCCAAUAGUUACAUCACUGUUGGAGAUAUGGUGGGUGUGCACAACCAGCUUGUAGAAAUCUUCAAACUUCCCAGGCUUAUGACGGUCCAGAGAGAACCUUCGGAAUUCCGCCCCAAACUACAAUGCAAGAGACGGGGUGGGGGGA
rnacentral:lncRNA from 10 species